UAGUCCACGCCCUAAACGAUGCUUACUGGAUAUUCCUGUUAUGGGAGUGUCUGAGGGAAACCAUUAAGUAAGCCACCUGGGGAGUACGUUCGGCAAGAAUGAAACUCAAAGGAAUUGACGGGGGUCCGCACAAGGCGGUGGAGCAUGUGGUUUAAUUCGAUGAUACGCGAGGAACCUUACCCAGGCUCUAAUGCUAUGCGCUAUGUGGUGAAAGCCGCAGUUCUUCGGACGCAUAGUAAGGUGCUGCAUGGUUGUCGUCAGCUCGUGCCGUGAGGUGUUGGGUUAAGUCCCGCAACCGAGCGCAACCCCUAUUGUUAGUUGCCAGCAUUAAGUUGGGGACUCUAGCAAGACUGCCGGCGUAAGCCGCGAGGAAGGUGGGGACGACGUCAAAUCAUCAUGGCCUUUAUGCCUAGGGCUACACACGUGCUACAAUGGUGCAUACAGAGGGUAGCGAAGCAGUGAUGUGGAGCCAAUCUCAGAAAGUCUGUCCCAGUUC
rnacentral:rRNA from 1 species